rnacentral:lncRNA from 10 species
CCCAUUUCAGACUCUACAGACCAAGCUUGCCUGCAGCCUGUACCUCCAAAAUGUGGAGGUGGGGAGGUCUAAGAAAGAGGGGGAUCACUUGCAAAUAUAAGGAAAUCAGACGCACCCGGUGCUACAGAAAUGGGCCAGGAGAAAACUCAGCAUUUUGACUGGGAUUUUGUUCCAACCAAGCAACUCUCUUCUACUUUCGUUGUGUACGGUUGGCACCAGGUGGAGGACAAUCAUUGGCACAGUGCUCUUGGCUCCUCUCCAUCCUCUCACUCCCUCCGCACUGACUGGUGAGUUUGGAAUGAGAAUGAAGACCUCUGUCACCUCCUCUAGGGAGCAAGCUCUUAGGAGGGAACACAUGUUCUCUGGUCUUCUUGUGUGAAGCCAGUGCCGAGGCCAGUUGAAAGGAUAAACCUGGCUCCUUGUGGAGUUGUCCAAGAGGAAGCCACAGACACAUGCCUUAGUCUUCAUUCUUGGUUCCAUCAAUCAUAAAAGUGAUAUCUUGAUCUCCA